GUUACCAGCCUCUUGCAUCCCUCUAGUACAAGUGUCUGAAGACGAGAGAUUUUCUUAACCCACAGAGGAAUUUCUUGUAUUUCUACAUCGUUAAAGUAAAGCUUUGUGAUGAUAUCGAGAGCAUGUGGGAAUUCCUUGAGAUUGUCAUUGUAUGACAUUUCCAAGUUACGAAGAUGAGACCAUGACUUGAUCGUCGAAGGCACUUCUUUUAUUGCAGUUUUCAUGAGCAUGAGAUCCUUGAUGUUUGUGGAGAUCUCCGGAAAACUUUUGAUCAGUAAGCAAGCGGUGAGAUCAAGGUUAUUGAGAGAUUCCAAGUUGAUAUUAGUAGGAAGAGCCUCUAGCUGUAAGCAAUCAGUGAGAUCAAGGGCAUUGAGAGAUUCCAAGUUGAUAUUAGUAGGAAGAGCCUCUAGCUUUGAGCAUCCUUGUAA
rnacentral:lncRNA from 1 species